rnacentral:rRNA from 1 species
UACGUAGGUGGCAAGCGUUGUCCGGAUUUACUGGGCGUAAAGAGCGCGCAGGCGGUCGUGCAAGUCGCGUGUGAAAGCCCCCGGCUCAACUGGGGAGGGUCACGCGAUACUGCUCGACUUGAAGGCAGGAGAGGGGAAGUGGAAUUCCCGGUGUAGUGGUGAAAAUGCGUAGAUAUCGGGAGGAACACCAGUGGCGAAGGCGACUUCCUGGCCUGUUCUUGACGCUGAGGCGCGAAAGCUAGGGUAGCAACGGG